rnacentral:rRNA from 1 species
CCUACGGGAGGCAGCAGUGGGGAAUAUUGCACAAUGGGGGGAACCCUGAUGCAGCAACGCCGCGUGAAGGAAGAAGGUUUUCGGAUCGUAAACUUCUAUCGACAGGGAAGAAAGAAAUGACGGUACCUGAAUAAGAAGCCCCGGCUAACUACGUGCCAGCAGCCGCGGUAAUACGUAGGGGGCAAGCGUUAUCCGGAAUUACUGGGUGUAAAGGGUGAGUAGGCGGUUAGAUAAGCCAUAUGUGAAAGACCGAGGCUUAACCUCGGGGCUGCAUAAGGAACUGUAUAACUAGAGUGCAGGAGAGGUAAGUGGAAUUCCUAGUGUAGCGGUGAAAUGCGUAGAUAUUAGGAGGAACACCGGUGGCGAAGGCGACUUACUGGACUGUUACUGACGCUGAGUCACGAAAGCGUGGGGAGCGAACAGGAUUAGAUACCCUGGUAGUCCACGCUGUAAACGAUGAGUGCUAGGUGUUGGUUAGAGAUAAUCGGUGCCGUAGCAAACGCAAUAAGCACUCCACCUGGGGAGUACGACCGCAAGGUUGAAACUCAAAGGAAUUGACGGGG